UACGGAGGGUGCAAGCGUUGUCCGGAUUUAUUGGGUUUAAAGGGUGCGUAGGUGGCUUUGUAAGUCCGUGGUGAAAGCCUGCUGCUCAACAGCAGAACUGCCAUGGAUACUGCAGGGCUUGAGUCCAGACGAGGUUGGCGGAAUAGAAGGUGUAGCGGUGAAAUGCACAGAUACCUUCUAGAACCCCGAUUGCGUAGGCAGCUGACUAGGCUGGUACUGACACUGAGGCACGAAAGCGUGGGGAGCGAACAGG
rnacentral:rRNA from 1 species